rnacentral:snRNA from 1 species
AUUCAUACCUGGCAGAGGGAAGACUGUGGCGGAAAAGGUGGUUAUAUCAGGGAGAGGCUUGUCUUUUGCACGCAGGAUGUGCUGACCCUUCCGAGUGACUGCAGAAUUUGUUCC